rnacentral:rRNA from 1 species
UACGUAGGGACCAAGCGUUGUCCGGAAUCAUUGGGCGUAAAGAGCGUGUAGGCGGCUUGUUAAGUCUUGCGUGAAAUCUCGGGGCUCAACCCCGAGCGGUCGUGAGAAACUGGCAGGCUAGAGUGCGGGAGAGGAGAGUGGAAUUCCUGGUGUAGCGGUGAAAUGCGCAGAUAUCAGGAGGAACACCGGUGGCGAAGGCGGAUCUCUGGGCCUUGCCUGACGCUGAGGCGCGAAAGCUAGGGGAGCGAACAGG